GACGAACGCUGGCGGCGUGCUUAACACAUGCAAGUCGAACGGAAAGGCCCUGCUUUUGUGGGGUGCUCGAGUGGCGAACGGGUGAGUAACACGUGAGUAACCUGCCCUUGACUUUGGGAUAACGUCAGGAAACUGGGGCUAAUACCGGAUAGGAGCUCCUGCUGCAUGGUGGGGGUUGGAAAGUUUCGGCGGUUGGGGAUGGACUCGCGGCUUAUCAGCUUGUUGGUGGGGUAGUGGCUUACCAAGGCUUUGACGGGUAGCCGGCCUGAGAGGGUGACCGGCCCCAUUGGGACUGAGAUACGGCCCAGACUCCUACGGGAGGCAGCAGUGGCGACUAUUGCACAAUGGGCGGAAGCCUGAUGCAGCAACGCCGCGUGCGGGAUGACGGCCUUCGGGUUGUAAACCGCUUUCGCCUGUGACGAAGCGUGAGUGACGGUAAUGGGUAAAGAAGCACCGGCUAACUACGUG
rnacentral:rRNA from 1 species